CGAGGCCCGGCCGCCCGCAGCCGCGCGGCGCCGCGUGCGGGUUCCUGGCGCGCAUCCGCGUCGGUUGGGGCCCGAGGCGUGGGCGCUGUGGGUUUUGGUCUUCCCGCCCUGGAUUCUCUGGAGUCAUUUCUGGUGUUUCUUCAGUCCUCCCUGUCUUACUUACCUGGCCCUGAGCAGGUGACCAGUUAGCAACAGAGAAUGUGUUUACGCUGAGUCAAUGCUCGCUCCCUUCCUUCGGCAGGUUACAGCAGCCUCCGCGGGCGGGGCGGCUCAGCCGUGUUGGGUGUUCGCGUCUCCUGACGAAGCGGAGAAGCCGCGGCGGGGCUGGAAUUUCUCUCAGUACCGGCGCCGCACGCAGCCCUGUCUGUCUGCAGGCCCCAGGCUUGCUUUCCCUCCGGGGUGACAGUGCUGACGAGCGACGUCUCACAUUUAAUGAGCCCCCACCUGAGGCGAGCGGGAGCUAACCUGGACACACAAGCAGCAACAGACGUGGAGUCCAGUAGGCUAGCCACGAAUAACUUGGUCUUCCUCCGGAAAAAUACGGAUUAAAACAUCUGUCCAUGCAGUGAAGUGUGUCAGGAGGAAACCAAAGGCUACCAACAAAGCGCCUCCCGGCAUUCCAGGGGGACAAACACCCUGAGCGUUAGCCAAUACUCCAUCUGUGAAAAGCGGUCUGUACAACAACAGAGAAGCUCUUCAGCGAUGAAAGACACUGUACAAUAAGUGUUAGCUCAGAUGGCGGUGCUGCCGGACGGUACUUCAGUGGAAGAUUACAAAAGGGAACCGCAAGGAUUUGCAUUUGCAGACGCGUGGGGGGAAGGGCCUCGGGCUGUUAACCUGGUGGGAAGGGAAGCGCGGCCAGGACUAAUCUGCAGUUUGCAGGUUGGUAGAAAGAGCAGGGAGACAGUGACUUUGGCUCCCCAUCUGUAAAUUGGGGAUAUGGACUUUCUGGGAAGGUUCAUUGUCUGCCCUGGGCUCUGUGGUUAUCACUUAGUGAUAACUCAGGAAUUCAUAGCUCUUCUGUGUCGAGAAACUUCUGUCUCUUUGAGAAACUGAUAAAAGGCAUGGACUUCUCCCCAGCCAAACGUGCAAGUGAUAGGAGAAAAUUUGUAUACCCGGCACACACACACACAGGCAGCCUGCCGAGUCCAAGAACCAAAGGUGAAGGUCCUCAAUGACAGCUUGGCAAUUUUUACUAUACUGAAAAAUUCAUCUCUGAUGGAAGAAUAACAUUUGUAAAUAAUUUCCCCUGAGGCAAUAAAUGCAAGAACAGAAAAUGAAAGAAAAAGAACAUACAAGGUUACUGAUAUCGACUUUGGAGAUAAUCUGUUCCUUAUCAGGAAUACUUUGCAAGCCAUAAAAAUAAUAAUGUAAUUAUGCUUACUAACAUCGAAUGUAUCCAACUUGCAUUAUUGAGACAGUGGGUAUAGUGCUCUUCUAGUAAAAUUGUAUUUGCCGUGGGUGGGGGGGGGGGGGCCGUACACAUGUAAUUUUCUGUCUUUGCUUUUGAGUUCUUGGUUAUAAUGAAACUCUCUAUAAUGAAAUACAAAAGAGAAAAAUAAAUACAGG
ensembl:lncRNA